UACGUAGGGGGCAAGCGUUGUCCGGAAUCAUUGGGCGUAAAGAGCGUGUAGGCGGCCAUGUAGGUCCGGUGUGAAAACUCGAGGCUUAACCUCGAGAUGUCAUCGGAAACCAUUUGGCUAGAGUCCGGAAGAGGAGAGUGGAAUUCCACGUGUAGCGGUGAAAUGCGUAGAGAUGUGGAGGAACACCAGUGGCGAAGGCGACUCUUUGGCCUGUAACUGACGCUGAGGCGCGAAAGCGUGGGGAGCAAACAGG
rnacentral:rRNA from 1 species